rnacentral:rRNA from 1 species
CAGUUAAAAAGCUCGUAGUUGGAUUUCUGGCAGAGUGACUUCAACCAUCUGAUGAUUGGUGAAAGCGCUUUACCAUCCUUCGGUUAACCUUCACGGGAUUCACUUUCUGCGCUGGGGCUCCGAUAUUUUACCUUGAGAAAAUUAGAGUGUUUCAGGCAGGCUAUCGCCGGGAUACAUUAGCAUGGAAUAAUGGAAUAGGACUUUCGCCUCUUCUGUUGGUCUGAGGGGUGAUCGUAAUGAUUAAUAGGGAUAGUUGGGGGCAUUAGUACUUAACUGUCAGAGGUGAAAUUCUCGGAUUUGUUAAAGACUAACUUAUGCGAAAGCAUUUGCCAAGGAUGUUUUCAUUAAUCAAGAACGAAAGUUGGGGGAUCAAAGACGAUCAGAUACCGUCCUAGUCUUAACCAUAAACUAUGCCGACUCGGGAUCGGGGGCCAAAGUUAUCCGCCUUCGGCACCGUAUGAGAAAUCAAAGUCUUUGGGUUCUGGGGGGAGAUAUGGUCGCAAGGCUGAAACUUAAAGGAAUUGACGGAAAGGCACCACCAAGC